rnacentral:misc_RNA from 1 species
AAACCAUCAAGCCCAGCUUGGUCUUGGACCUGGUCGAGCGACCUGUCCGUAACCCUUUGGCGGUGCAGUCCGGCUUCAAGCGUAGCAGAAUUUUCGCUUCAGGAGUCCGCGGCGGUACCUGCCAGGAAAUUACACUCUAAAGU